rnacentral:rRNA from 1 species
GGGUUGUGAGGUUAAGCGACUAAGCGUACACGGUGGAUGCCCUGGCAGUCAGAGGCGAUGAAGGACGUGCUAAUCUGCGAUAAGCGUCGGUGAGGUGAUAUGAACCGUUAUAACCGGCGAUUUCCGAAUGGGGAAACCCAGUGUGAUUCGUCACACUAUCAUUAACUGAAUCCAUAGGUUAAUGAGGCGAACCGGGGGAACUGAAACAUCUAAGUACCCCGAGGAAAAGAAAUCAACCGAGAUUCCCCCAGUAGCGGCGAGCGAACGGGGAGCAGCCCAGAGCCUGAAUCAGUGUGUGUGUUAGUGGAAGCGUCUGGAAAGGCGCGCGAUACAGGGUGACAGCCCCGUACACAAAAAUGCACAUACUGUGAGCUCGAUGAGUAGGGCGGGACACGUGGUAUCCUGUCUGAAUAUGGGGGGACCAUCCUCCAAGGCUAAAUACUCCUGACUGACCGAUAGUGAACCAGUACCGUGAGGGAAAGGCGAAAAGAACCCCGGCGAGGGGAGUGAAAAAGAACCUGAAACCGUGUACGUACAAGCAGUGGGAGCACGCUUCGGCGUGUGACUGCGUACCUUUUGUAUAAUGGGUCAGCGACUUAUAUUCUGUAGCAAGGUUAACCGAAUAGGGGAGCCGAAGGGAAACCGAGUCUUAACUGGGCGUUAAGUUGCAGGGUAUAGACCCGAAACCCGGUGAUCUAGCCAUGGGCAGGUUGAAGGUUGGGUAACACUAACUGGAGGACCGAACCGACUAAUGUUGAAAAAUUAGCGGAUGACUUGUGGCUGGGGGUGAAAGGCCAAUCAAACCGGGAGAUAGCUGGUUCUCCCCGAAAGCUAUUUAGGUAGCGCCUCGUGAAUUCAUCUCCGGGGGUAGAGCACUGUUUCGGCAAGGGGGUCAUCCCGACUUACCAACCCGAUGCAAACUGCGAAUACCGGAGAAUGUUAUCACGGGAGACACACGGCGGGUGCUAACGUCCGUCGUGAAGAGGGAAACAACCCAGACCGCCAGCUAAGGUCCCAAAGUCAUGGUUAAGUGGGAAACGAUGUGGGAAGGCCCAGACAGCCAGGAUGUUGGCUUAGAAGCAGCCAUCAUUUAAAGAAAGCGUAAUAGCUCACUGGUCGAGUCGGCCUGCGCGGAAGAUGUAACGGGGCUAAACCAUGCACCGAAGCUGCGGCAGCGACACUAUGUGUUGUUGGGUAGGGGAGCGUUCUGUAAGCCUGUGAAGGUGUACUGUGAGGUAUGCUGGAGGUAUCAGAAGUGCGAAUGCUGACAUAAGUAACGAUAAAGCGGGUGAAAAGCCCGCUCGCCGGAAGACCAAGGGUUCCUGUCCAACGUUAAUCGGGGCAGGGUGAGUCGACCCCUAAGGCGAGGCCGAAAGGCGUAGUCGAUGGGAAACAGGUUAAUAUUCCUGUACUUGGUGUUACUGCGAAGGGGGGACGGAGAAGGCUAUGUUGGCCGGGCGACGGUUGUCCCGGUUUAAGCGUGUAGGCUGGUUUUCCAGGCAAAUCCGGAGAAUCAAGGCUGAGGCGUGAUGACGAGGCACUACGGUGCUGAAGCAACAAAUGCCCUGCUUCCAGGAAAAGCCUCUAAGCAUCAGGUAACAUUAAAUCGUACCCCAAACCGACACAGGUGGUCAGGUAGAGAAUACCAAGGCGCUUGAGAGAACUCGGGUGAAGGAACUAGGCAAAAUGGUGCCGUAACUUCGGGAGAAGGCACGCUGAUACGUAGGUGAAGUCCCUCGCGGAUGGAGCUGAAAUCAGUCGAAGAUACCAGCUGGCUGCAACUGUUUAUUAAAAACACAGCACUGUGCAAACACGAAAGUGGACGUAUACGGUGUGACGCCUGCCCGGUGCCGGAAGGUUAAUUGAUGGGGUCAGCGCAAGCGAAGCUCUUGAUCGAAGCCCCGGUAAACGGCGGCCGUAACUAUAACGGUCCUAAGGUAGCGAAAUUCCUUGUCGGGUAAGUUCCGACCUGCACGAAUGGCGUAAUGAUGGCCAGGCUGUCUCCACCCGAGACUCAGUGAAAUUGAACUCGCUGUGAAGAUGCAGUGUACCCGCGGCAAGACGGAAAGACCCCGUGAACCUUUACUAUAGCUUGACACUGAACAUUGAGCCUUGAUGUGUAGGAUAGGUGGGAGGCUUUGAAGUGUGGACGCCAGUCUGCAUGGAGCCGGCCUUGAAAUACCACCCUUUAAUGUUUGAUGUUCUAACGUAGACCCGUGAUCCGGGUUGCGGACAGUGUCUGGUGGGUAGUUUGACUGGGGCGGUCUCCUCCUAAAGAGUAACGGAGGAGCACGAAGGUUGGCUAAUCCUGGUCGGACAUCAGGAGGUUAGUGCAAUGGCAUAAGCCAGCUUGACUGCGAGCGUGACGGCGCGAGCAGGUGCGAAAGCAGGUCAUAGUGAUCCGGUGGUUCUGAAUGGAAGGGCCAUCGCUCAACGGAUAAAAGGUACUCCGGGGAUAACAGGCUGAUACCGCCCAAGAGUUCAUAUCGACGGCGGUGUUUGGCACCUCGAUGUCGGCUCAUCACAUCCUGGGGCUGAAGUAGGUCCCAAGGGUAUGGCUGUUCGCCAUUUAAAGUGGUACGCGAGCUGGGUUUAGAACGUCGUGAGACAGUUCGGUCCCUAUCUGCCGUGGGCGCUGGAGAACUGAGGGGGGCUGCUCCUAGUACGAGAGGACCGGAGUGGACGCAUCACUGGUGUUCGGGUUGUCAUGCCAAUGGCACUGCCCGGUAGCUAAAUGCGGAAGAGAUAAGUGCUGAAAGCAUCUAAGCACGAAACUUGCCCCGAGAUGAGUUCUCCCUGACCCUUUAAGGGUCCUGAAGGAACGUUGAAGACGACGACGUUGAUAGGCCGGGUGUGUAAGCGCAGCGAUGCGUUGAGCUAACCGGUACUAAUGAACCGUGAGGCUUAACCUUACAACGCCGAAGGUGUUU